rnacentral:sRNA from 1 species
GUCGAGGCGAUUCGCCCGAUUCUUGUGGAUU